CCUACGGGUGGCUGCAGUGGGGAAUAUUGGACAAUGGGGGCAACCCUGAUCCAGCCAUGCCGCGUGUGUGAAGAAGGCCCUCGGGUUGUAAAGCACUUUCAGUGAGGAAGAACGCCUGGUGGUUAAUACCCAUCAGGAAAGACAUCACUCACAGAAGAAGCACCGGCUAACUCCGUGCCAGCAGCCGCGGUAAUACGGAGGGUGCGAGCGUUAAUCGGAAUUACUGGGCGUAAAGCGCGCGUAGGUGGCUUGAUAAGCCGGUUGUGAAAGCCCCGGGCUCAACCUGGGAACGGCAGCCGGAACUGUCAAGCUAGAGUGCAGGAGAGGAAGGUAGAAUUCCCGGUGUAGCGGUGAAAUGCGUAGAGAUCGGGAGGAAUACCAGUGGCGAAGGCGGCCUUCUGGACUGACACUGACACUGAGGUGCGAAAGCGUGGGUAGCAAACAGGAUUAGAUACCCUAGUAGUC
rnacentral:rRNA from 1 species